GAUGAACGCUGGCGGCGUGCCUAAUACAUGCCAGUCGAGCGAACAGACGAGGAGCUUGCUCCUCUGACGUUAGCGACGGACGGGUGAGUAACACGUGGAUAACCUACCUAUAAGACUGGGAUAACUUCGGGAAACCGGAGCUAAUACCGGAUAAUAUAUUGAACCGCAUGGUUCAAUAGUGAAAGACGGUUUUGCUGUCACUUAUAGAUGGAUCCGCGCCGCAUUAGCUAGUUGGUAAGGUAACGGCUUACCAAGGCAACGAUGCGUAGCCGACCUGAGAGGGUGAUCGGCCACACUGGAACUGAGACACGGUCCAGACUCCUACGGGAGGCAGCAGUAGGGAAUCUUCCGCAAUGGGCGAAAGCUUGACGGAGCAACGCCGCGUGAGUGAUGAAGGUCUUCGGAUCGUAAAACUCUGUUAUUAGGGAAGAACAAAUGUGUAAGUAACUAUGCACGUCUUGACGGUACCUAAUCAGAAAGCCACGGCUAACUACGUG
rnacentral:rRNA from 1 species